ACUGGUUAUUCUCUAAACAUCUCGGCCUUCAUGCCAUUUCAACACAUACUACUCAAAACUGGCAUAUUGUGAUGUUGAUGAGUUUCAGUGAUUUCCUCAGUUUGCUUCUGAAGAGCCGUACAGCACGUGAGCUGGAUAUAGUACUUUUCUGCUGUUUCCCAAAAGAAAUCAAAUCCUAACUCUGUCUUUUAUACGGACAUGUUUCAGAGAGGCAGAAAGCACAGAUCAUCCUCCAUUAGCAGCACUGAAACCCCGUGUUCACUAAUUCUGACAUGCACUAGUGUGUUUGUCUUCUCUGUUGAUGUCAUUUGUUCUGAUAACAACAGAAAACACACAGAGAAGCAGCGGCUCUCUGGAGUUCAGAGGUCGGUCAGUGAAGCAUUAACCAGCCGCCGUAAAUCCCUCUCAAUCAUCACGGGUUUCAGCUUUGCCUCAGAGCUCAGAGUCCAGCUCCAGAGACCGAGCUGAUGUCCACUGCAGCGGCGUUCCUGAGCGAGGUCCCGGGAUGGUUUCUGUGGACGGGAGUCUUCUUCCCCGUGACGGCUCUCCUGCUGCUGCUCAUCGCUCUCCUCAGCUGGAAACUCAGAGAGACAGAGGAAGAGCUGGCCGUGACACCAGACCCGUGGCAAACAGCCUAUCAUCUGUGUUACGGGCCGCGCUGCAGACACAGGACAGAGCGGACAAGACGAGCAUGAAACACACAGAACACCUGUGAAGAGUCAGUCCAGAUCACCUGAGCCAUCAGAGACGAACGAGAAGCGUGCAUGUGACCACAUCAAGCUAGAUUUAGACGCACCUCUCCUCACACAACAGACUGGAAGUCAUGAGACGCACAUGCAAAUUAUUCAAAAAGAAAAGUUUCCAUGUAGUCUGCUGUCACUGGUAAAGCCUGUACUCAUCUUCAGAUGUGUGUAGUGUUUGUAAUGACUAUUAUUACCAGUUAUGUUGAGCCUCUUCCUUUACUGUUCCAACAGCAAAAUCAUGUUCUUUACAGUAUCCUACUCAACUACAUCAGAAAUGGCUGACGACAUGAAUGUCAAAGAUGUCUGACACAUCUUCACACUUAAUGCUUCAACUUUAUCAAGAGUAAUGAGCAAAUACCAUAAAGAGACAGAAAUCUCCUGUUCUGCUAUAUUUAAUGAAGCCGCACAGCAGGAUGAACUAAAGAGUACGCUGUGUCACGCAGCAGGACACAAAAACCGCUUGUGUGCUCUCAGACAUCACAACACUCUCAAGGUCUUGCAAGGUUUUGGUUGUAUUUCACAGCUCUCCUUAUUCUGAUUGCUCAGUCACAGCACAGCGACUGACUGAAAUAAAAACAGCCUCGGGAGAACUUCAGUAGUACUUUUACAAUGAAUAAAAAUGGUUGAGAAUCUCCAGUUAAAGCAAGAAAAACACUAAAACCAUUUAACUCAGAAUGCAUAUGAAUAUAAAUGAAUAUUGUAAUGUUUUUGUUGUAGUGGACUAUCACUUGUAUCAUGCAUAUACUUCAGCUUCCAGCCAAAGUCACUUUAUUUUAUCGACCAAUGCCAAUUUUUACAUGCAUUUGGAGCCUGGCGUGAAUUAAAGGUGCAUUCA